GGAUGUGAGAGUAAUCUGGCUGCCACAUCUCACUCCAUUGAUUGCCGAGGUCAAUUUGGCUGAUCCGGCUGGCUAGGCGGGUGUCCGCUUCCUCCCUCAACGCUCCUUGUGAGUCCCUCAGGAAGCCUCGGAUUCAGUGAAAGAGACCAACCACCCUAUAAAGGAGGAGGGCCUCCUCCUAGUCAAGGGCAUACAGUCAUUGUGCUCCCCUGCUAGAACUUCAGAACAAGUGCUCAAGCAGAUACUCACUUCUUUGAUGCUGAAACCAAUGCUGCAAUAAAGAUAUCUCUACACGGCUUAUUUUAU
rnacentral:snRNA from 1 species